rnacentral:rRNA from 1 species
UACGGGGGGAACAGCAGUGUUCGGUGAUUUACUGGGCGUAAAGGGCGCGUAGGCGGCCACCGCAAGUCAGUUGUGAAAUCUCUGGGCUUAACCCAGAACGGUCAGCUGAUACUGCGGGGCUAGAGUGCAGAAGGGGCAACUGGAAUUCUCGGUGUAGCGGUGAAAUGCGUAGAUAUCAAGAGGAACACCUGAGGUGAAGACGGGUUGCUGGGCUGACACUGACGCUGAGGCGCGAAAGCCAGGGGAGCAAACGGG